rnacentral:rRNA from 1 species
UAUUCGUAGUAAAGUGGGGGACUUUCGAGCCUCACGCUAUCAGAUGAGCCUGCGUAAGAUUAGCUAGUUGGUAGGGUAAAAGCCUACCAAGGCGACGAUCUUUAGCUGGUCUGAGAGGAUGAUCAGCCACAUCGGGACUGAGACACGGCCCGAACUCCUACGGGAGGCAGCAGUGGGGAAUAUUGGACAAUGGGGGCAACCCUGAUCCAGCAAUACCGCGUGUGUGAAGAAGGCCUGAGGGUUGUAAAGCACUUUCAAUUGUGAAGAAAAGCUAGUGGUUAAUAGCCAUUAGCCUUGACGUUAACUUUAGAAGAAGCACCGGCUAACUCCGUGCCAGCAGCCGCGGUAAUACGGAGGGUGCAAGCGUUAAUCGGAAUUACUGGGCGUAAAGCGUGCGUAGGCGGUUUAUUAAGUCAGAUGUGAAAGCCCCGGGCUUAACCUGGGAACUGCAUUUGAAACUGGUCAACUAGAGUAUGGUAGAGGAAAGUGGAAUUUCUGGUGUAGCGGUGAAAUGCGUAGAUAUCAGAAGGAACAUCAAUGGCGAAGGCAACUUUCUGGACCAAUACUGACGCUGAGGUACGAAAGCGUGGGUAGCAAACAGGAUUAGAUACCCUGGUAGUCCACGCCGUAAACGAUGAUAACUAGCCGUUGGGGGGAUUUACCCUUAGUGGCGAAGUUAACGCGUUAAGUUUCCG